AUAAUGAUACUUCCGUAAAACGGUCACAGAGAUGAUGGUGCGAUUCCAAUGU
rfam:Lachnospiraceae bacterium A2 genomic scaffold acPFL-supercont1.4, whole genome shotgun sequence.